AAUCUCACGGGUACGGAUCUAAUUCUUUCAUUGCAAAAUCACCAUAUGAAAUAGAGGAAAUUAGGCCAACACUGCAAUAGGGCAAAAUAAUCUCACUUGUACGACUCCACAUCUUUCAUUGCAAACAGCUUUUAUAUUUCAUCUCGCGUUGCUUUCUCCCGAUCGUCAUGUUUCGCCGAUGCUAUUGCCCACCACCAGUUCCGUCACCCCAGCAGCUGCUCCCGGUUCUGAAUCUGUCGCCGGAAAUAGUUAAAAGUUAAGCGUGAGCGUAUUGCAUUUCUUUUGUAUCAAUAUAGGAACAUGAAGAUGGCUGAAAAUAUUGAGAGGGACGAAGAGGUUGAGUCAAGAAGACAAAUGUGGAAGCAAGAAAGGCAAAAAUGAAAAAAAAGUUUUAAUACUUAUGAUUGUCUAGUAUAUGGAUUUCCAGUUUUAGUUGUUUGUUUGGAGUAUUUUGUUGUAUAGGAUUGUUUUCUAAACCUAUGAAUAUUGGUUGUUAUUUUUAUUUAAUUUUAUAAAUUUAGUA